rnacentral:rRNA from 1 species
CGAAGUGAACGCACCGCUGGUGUUCGGGUUGUGAUGCCAAUUGCAUUGCCCGGUAGCUACGUGCGGAAUAGAUAAGUGCUGAAAGCAUCUAAGUACGAAACUAGCCUCGAGAUGAGUUUUCCCUGAAGAGAUUCAGUAAGGUCCGUUUGAGACUAAGACGUAGAUAGGUCAGGUGUGUAAGUGUAGUGAUACAUUGAGCUAACUGAUACUAAUGAACCGAGAGUCUUAACCUUACAAC